rnacentral:rRNA from 1 species
AUACGUAGGGGGCGAGCGUUGUCCGGAAUUACUGGGCGUAAAGGGCGCGUAGGCGGCCUGUCAAGUCAGAUGUGAAAUCCCCGGGCUUAACCCGGGGACUGCAUUUGAAACUGGCGGGCUUGAGGGCAGGAGAGGAAAGCGGAACUCCCAGUGUAGCGGUGAAAUGCGUAGAUAUUGGGAGGAACACCAGUGGCGAAGGCGGCUUUCUGGACUGUCACUGACGCUGAGGCGCGAAAGCCAGGGGAGCGAACGGGAUUAGAUACCCCGGUAGUCCUGGCUGUAAACGAUGGGUACUAGGUGUUGGGGGUAUCGACCCCUCCAGUGCCGCAGUUAACGCAAUAAGUACCCCGCCUGGGGAGUACGUGCGCAAGCAUGAA